GAUGAAGAACGUAGCGAAACGCGAUAAGUAAUGUGAAUUGCAGAAUCCAGUGAAUCAUCGAAUCUUUGAACGCACAUUGCGCCCGCCAGCAUUCUGGCGGGCAUGCCUGUUCGAGCGUCAUUUCAACCCUCGACCUCCCCUUGGGGAGGUCGGCGUUGGGGACCGGCAGCACACCGCCGGCCCCGAAAUGGAGUGGCGGCCCGUCCGCGGCGACCUCUGCGCAGUAAUACAGCUCGCACCGGGACCCCGACGCGGCCACGCCGUAAAACACCCAACUUCUGAACGUUGACCUCGAAUCAGGUAGGACUACCCGCUGAACUUAAGCAUAUCAAUAAGCGGAGGA
rnacentral:misc_RNA from 1 species